ensembl:lncRNA
UCCGGAUGGUGUCGCGUGACUUCUGCUGACCACUGAGCAUGCACUUACACAGCUCAUCCCAGAAACAUCUGAUCUAACAGACACAUUCUGGCAAUACCACACCCCCUGCUCCUCAACACCCACCAGCAGUAUGCACAUCUCUUCCAGAGCUGCGGAGCAGCUGGAAAGAAAUGGAAGGAAUGAUAACCUCCAGGACAAUCCUGAGUCAUAAAAUAUUGAUAAUAAUUGACUCAAAGAAAGAAAGAAGAGUUUUCUAGGAAAGCUACGAGACAACUGAGGAAACAUGUCUAGGAGAGUGAAGCCUCAGUCAUGGCAAAGCACUUCUGGAAUCCAAAUGAAGAUGGAGAUGUCAUGGAAACUUGGAUCUGGAUGAUCCAACAUUCCUCCAGCUUUGCAGUGGAAGGCCAUGGAGAUACUGCAUGACAGAGAAGGAGGUGCACCCAUGUUCCCCCUCACAAGGACAUGAGGGAAUUGGGACCAACUGCUGCUGCCACCACUGCCACCUGCUGAGAUCUCCAGCUCAAAGUGACCUGGACCUACUCCAUCUUCUGGGGCAGAGAGGCUACAGACACCUGGGGUCAGACUGGCAAAAGUACCGAGUGAUCUGCAUUGCAAGCAAAGUGCCUUCAGAGUAACAUUAUGGGAGUCUCUGGUUCCAGAGGUUCAAGAAUCCUGGCCAUUCCCAGCAGAAACCCUGGAAAGAAGUUCCCUGUACCACAAUCCCUCUUGUUUCAGCCAAGGAUGUAUUUUGCCCUCAUGGAUAGUUUGUAUCAGGCUAUCACAUGUUUGCCACUGAUUUCCUCUCCAAUUUGGGUGACUUCAGCAUCAAAGCUCACUAACAAGGGCCUUCUAGAGGCUGCUCAGCUCAUUUGCUUCUAUCAUCUCAACUUCAUGUCUUGCCCAAAGAUGUUCUCAAGUGUUCUUAUUUAUUCACUGAACUUUUCCCAACAUUAGGCUUUCUUGUCCACCCACCAUUCUCCACUCCCCCUCCCAGUCCUCUCCACAAUUUUCGUUUCCUUGUCCUUUUCUCACAGUACGUGCUCAGCUCUUACAUUCGCCAAAAGCAAUUGUUUUUUCUUAUAUAUCUGCAAUUUUGUCUUUCACAACAGUAAUCCUCUGCACUCUGUAGAUUUUAAUAACAUGCCAUUGUCUGAACAUAUAUAAUAUGCACUUAAAAAAAUGAAGAAGAAAAACAAACAUAUGACUGUAAAGUGAACGGCCAGUUAGUGAUCCCAACUCCCCUAAUCUCUCUGUCCUCAUUUCACUUCAGUAAAAUGGAAGUUGGUGCUUGCUCCUUCUUCUUUUCGCAAGAGCUGCAGUAAGGGG